GUGACUGCGUACCUUUUGUAUAAUGGGUCAGCGACUUAUAUUCUGUAGCAAGGUUAACCGAAUAGGGGAGCCGGAGGGAAACCGAGUCUUAAUUGGGCGUUAAGUUGCAGGGUAUAGACCCGAAACCCGGUGAUCUAGCCAUGGGCAGGUUGAAGGUUGGGUAACACUAACUGGAGGACCGAACCGACUAAUGUUGAAAAAUUAGCGGAUGACCUGUGGCUGGGGGUGAAAGGCCAAUCAAACCGGGAGAUAGCUGGUUCUCCCCGAAAGCUAUUUAGGUAGCGCCUCGUGAAUUCAUCUCCGGGGGUAGAGCACUGUUUCGGCUAGGGGGCCAUCCCGGCUUACCAACCCGAUGCAAACUGCGAAUACCGGAGAAUGUUAUCACGGGAGACACACGGCGGGUGCUAACGUCCGUCGUGAAGAGGGAAACAACCCAGACCGCCAGCUAAGGUCCCAAAGUCAUGGUUAAGUGGGAAACGAUGUGGGAAGGCCCAGACAGCCAGGAUGUUGGCUUAGAAGCAGCCAUCAUUUAAAGAAAGCGUAAUAGCUCACUGGUCGAGUCGGCCUGCGCGGAAGAUGUAACGGGGCUAAACCAUGCACCGAAGCUGCGGCAGCGACGCUUAUGCGUUGUUGGGUAGGGGAGCGUUCUGUAAGCCUGUGAAGGUGGCCUGUGAGGGUUGCUGGAGGUAUCAGAAGUGCGAAUGCUGACAUAAGUAACGANACGUAUCACCCAAGACAACUUUACGGAGUUGACGAUUGACGGAGCGAAGCGACGUCAAAGCGUUCAUUAAAGUCGAGUUGGCUUAGGGAUACGUUCGUUGGGUAGGGGAGCGUUCUGUAAGCCUGCGAAGGUGGCCUGUGAGGGUUGCUGGAGGUAUCAGAAGUGCGAAUGCUGACAUNCGCUUAUGCGUUGUUGGGUAGGGGAGCGUUCUGUAAGCCUGUGAAGGUGGCCUGUGAGGGUUGCUGGAGGUAUCAGAAGUGCGAAUGCUGACAUAAGUAACGAUAAAGCGGGUGAAAAGCCCGCUCGCCGGAAGACCAAGGGUUCCUGUCCAACGUUAAUCGGGGCAGGGUGAGUCGACCCCUAAGGCGAGGCCGAAAGGCGUAGUCGAUGGGAAACGGGUUAAUAUUCCCGUACUUGGUGUUACUGCGAAGGGGGGACGGAGAAGGCUAUGUUGGCCGGGCGACGGUUGUCCCGGUUUAAGCGUGUAGGUGUGUGUUCCAGGUAAAUCCGGUUCACUUUAACACUGAGGCGUGACGACGAGGCACUACGGUGCUGAAGCAACAAAUGCCCUGCUUCCAGGAAAAGCCUCUAAGCAUCAGGUAACAUCAAAUCGUACCCCAAACCGACACAGGUGGUCAGGUAGAGAAUACCAAGGCGCUUGAGAGAACUCGGGUGAAGGAACUAGGCAAAAUGGUGCCGUAACUUCGGGAGAAGGCACGCUGACAUGUAGGUGAAGCGGUUUACCCGUGGAGCUGAAAUCAGUCGAAGAUACCAGCUGGCUGCAACUGUUUAUUAAAAACACAGCACUGUGCAAACACGAAAGUGGACGUAUACGGUGUGACGCCUGCCCGGUGCCGGAAGGUUAAUUGAUGGGGUCAGCGCAAGCGAAGCUCCUGAUCGAAGCCCCGGUAAACGGCGGCCGUAACUAUAACGGUCCUAAGGUAGCGAAAUUCCUUGUCGGGUAAGUUCCGACNGACGCCUGCCCGGUGCCGGAAGGUUAAUUGAUGGGGUCAGCGCAAGCGAAGCUCCUGAUCGAAGCCCCGGUAAACGGCGGCCGUAACUAUAACGGUCCUAAGGUAGCGAAAUUCCUUGUCGGGUAAGUUCCGACCUGCACGAAUGGCGUAAUGAUGGCCAGGCUGUCUCCACCCGAGACUCAGUGAAAUUGAACUCGCUGUGAAGAUGCAGUGUACCCGCGGCAAGACGGAAAGACCCCGUGAACCUUUACUAUAGCUUGACACUGAACAUUGAGCCUUGAUGUGUAGGAUAGGUGGGAGGCUUUGAAGCGUGGACGCCAGUCUGCGUGGAGCCGACCUUGAAAUACCACCCUUUAAUGUUUGAUGUUCUAACGUGGACCCGU
rnacentral:rRNA from 1 species